rnacentral:sRNA from 1 species
GCCAGGUGUGGUGGUGCACACCUGUAAUCACAGUGACAUGGGAGGCUGAGGCAGGAGGAUUGCAAGUUCAAAGCCAGCCUCAGCAACUUAGUGAGAUCCUAAGCAACUUGUCGAGAUCCUGUCUCAA